AUUGAACGCUGGCGGAAUGCUUUACACAUGCAAGUCGAACGGCAGCACGGACUUCGGUCUGGUGGCGAGUGGCGAACGGGUGAGUAAUGUAUCGGAACGUGCCCAGUCGUGGGGGAUAACGUAGUGAAAAUUACGCUAAUACCGCAUACGAUCUAUGGAUGAAAGCGGGGGAUCGCAAGACCUCGCGCGAUUGGAGCGGCCGAUAUCAGAUUAGGUAGUUGGUGGGGUAAAGGCCCACCAAGCCAACGAUCUGUAGCUGGUCUGAGAGGACGACCAGCCAAACUGGAACUGAGAGACGGUCCAGACUCCUACGGGAGGCAGCAGUGGGGAAUUUUGGACAAUGGGCGAAAGCCUGAUCCAGCCAUUCCGCGUGCAGGAUGAAGGCCCUCGGGUUGUAAACUGCUUUUGUACAGAACGAAAAGGUUUCUACUAAUACUAGGGGCUCAUGACGGUACUGUAAGAAUAAGCACCGGCUAACUACGUGCCAGCCGCCGCGGUAA
rnacentral:rRNA from 1 species